AAUGAACGCUGGCGGCGCGCCUAAUACAUGCAAGUCGAGCGAGAAGACGUAGCAAUACGUUUGUAAAGCGGCGAACGGGUGAGGAAUACAUGGGUAACCUACCCUCGAGUGGGGAAGUAACUAGCCGAAAGGUUAGCUAAUACCGCGUACGCUUCUUGGACUUCGGUUCAGGGAGGAAAGCGAUACCGUGGGUAUCGCGCUCUUGGAUGGGCUCAUGUCCUAUCAGCUUGUUGGGAGGUAACGGCUCACCAAGGCUUCGACGGGUAGCUGGUCUGAGAGGACGAUCAGCCACACUGGCACUGCGACACGGGCCAGACUCCUACGGGAGGCAGCAGUAAGGAAUAUUGCGCAAUGGGCGAAAGCCUGACGCAGCGACGCCGCGUGGGGGAGUGAA
rnacentral:rRNA from 1 species